UGGGGAAUAUUGCACAAUGGGCGCAAGCCUGAUGCAGCGACGCCGCGUGGGGGAUGACGGCCUUCGGGUUGUAAACUCCUUUCGCUAGGGACGAAGCUUUUUGUGACGGUACCUAGAUAAGAAGCACCGGCUAACUACGUGCCAGCAGCCGCGGUAAUACGUAGGGUGCGAGCGUUGUCCGGAAUUACUGGGAGUAAAGGGCUCGAAGGUGGUUUGUCGCGUCGUCUGUGAAAUUCCGGGGCUUAACUCCGGGCGUGCAGGCGAUACGGGCAUAACUUGAGUACUGUAGCGGUAACUGGACUUCCUGGUGUAGCAGUGAAAUGCUCAGAUAUCAGGAGGAACACCGAUGGCGAAGGCAGGUUACUGUGCAGUUACUGACGCUGAGGAGCGAAAGCAUGGGUAGCGAACAGG
rnacentral:rRNA from 1 species